rnacentral:rRNA from 1 species
GGGGGGACGGAGAAGGCUAGGUGGGCCAGGCGACGGUUGUCCUGGUUCAAGUGCGUAGGCUUGAGAGUUAGGUAAAUCCGGCUCUCUCUAAGGCUGAGACACGACGUCGAGCUACUACGGUAGUGAAGUCAUUGAUGCCAUGCUUCCAGGAAAAGCCUCUAAGCUUCAGAUAGUCAGGAAUCGUACCCCAAACCGACACAGGUGGUCGGGUAGAGAAUACCAAGGCGCUUGAGAGAACUCGGGUGAAGGAACUAGGCAAAAUGGUACCGUAACUUCGGGAGAAGGUACGCUCUUGAUGGUGAAGUCCCUCGCGGAUGGAGCUGACGAGAGUCGCAGAUACCAGGUGGCUGCAACUGUUUAUUAAAAACACAGCACUGUGCAAAAUCGCAAGAUGACGUAUACGGUGUGACGCCUGCCCGGUGCCGGAAGGUUAAUUGAUGGGGUUAGCGCAAGCGAAGCUCUUGAUCGAAGCCCCGGUAAACGGCGGCCGUAACUAUAACGGUCCUAAGGUAGCGAAAUUCCUUGUCGGGUAAGUUCCGACCUGCACGAAUGGCGUAAUGAUGGCCACGCUGUCUCCACCCGAGACUCAGUGAAAUUGAAAUCGCUGUGAAGAUGCAGUGUACCCGCGGCUAGACGGAAAGACCCCGUGAACCUUUACUACAGCUUGGCACUGAACAUUGAACCUACAUGUGUAGGAUAGGUGGGAGGCUAUGAAGACGUGACGCCAGUUGCGUUGGAGCCGUCCUUGAAAUACCACCCUUGUAUGUUUGAUGUUCUAACUUAGACCCAUUAUCUGGGUUGAGGACAGUGCCUGGUGGGUAGUUUGACUGGGGCGGUCUCCUCCCAAAGAGUAACGGAGGAGCACGAAGGUGGGCUAAUCACGGUUGGACAUCGUGAGGUUAGUGCAAUGGCAUAAGCCCGCUUAACUGCGAGAAUGACGGUUCGAGCAGGUGCGAAAGCAGGUCAUAGUGAUCCGGUGGUUCUGUAUGGAAGGGCCAUCGCUCAACGGAUAAAAGGUACUCCGGGGAUAACAGGCUGAUACCGCCCAAGAGUUCAUAUCGACGGCGGUGUUUGGCACCUCGAUGUCGGCUCAUCACAUCCUGGGGCUGAAGUCGGUCCCAAGGGUAUGGCUGUUCGCCAUUUAAAGUGGUACGCGAGCUGGGUUUAGAACGUCGUGAGACAGUUCGGUCCCUAUCUGCCGUGGGCGUUGGAAGAUUGAAGGGGGCUGCUCCUAGUACGAGAGGACCGGAGUGGACGAACCUCUGGUGUUCGGGUUGUGUCGCCAGACGCAUUGCCCGGUAGCUAAGUUCGGAAUUGAUAAGCGCUGAAAGCAUCUAAGCGCGAAGCGAGCCCUGAGAUGAGUCUUCCCUGACAGUUUAACUGUCCUAAAGGGUUGUUCGAGACUAGAACGUUGAUAGGCAGGGUGUGUAAGCGUUGUGAGGCGUUGAGCUAACCUGUACUAAUUGCCCGUGAGGCUUAACCAU